UACAGAGGGUGCGAGCGUUAAUCGGAAUUACUGGGCGUAAAGCGCGCGUAGACGGUUUUGUAAGUCAGAUGUGAAAUCCCUGGGCUCAACCUGGGAACUGCAUUUGAAACUGCAUGGCUAGAGUAUGGAAGAGGGAAGUGGAAUUUCUGGUGUAGCGGUGAAAUGCGUAGAUAUCGGAAGGAACACCAGUGGCGAAAGCGACUUCCUGGUCCAAUACUGACGUUCAUGUGCGAAAGCGUGGGGAGCAAACAGG
rnacentral:rRNA from 1 species